CCCUUGUGCCCAUACCAAACUGUUGCCUCGGCGGGGUCACGCCCCGGGUGCGUCGCAGCCCCGGAACCAGGCGCCCGCCGGAGGGACCAACCAAACUCUUUUCUGUAGUCCCCUCGCGGACGUUAUUUCUUACAGCUCUGAGCAAAAAUUCAAAAUGAAUCAAAACUUUCAACAACGGAUCUCUUGGUUCUGGCAUCGAUGAAGAACGCAGCGAAAUGCGAUAAGUAAUGUGAAUUGCAGAAUUCAGUGAAUCAUCGAAUCUUUGAACGCACAUUGCGCCCGCCAGUAUUCUGGCGGGCAUGCCUGUCCGAGCGUCAUUUCAACCCUCGAACCCCUCCGGGGGGUCGGCGUUGGGGACCUCGGGAGCCCCUAAGACGGGAUCCCGGCCCCGAAAUACAGUGGCGGUCUCGCCGCAGCCUCUCCUGCGCAGUAGUUUGCACAACUCGCACCGGGAGCGCGGCGCGUCCACGUCCGUAAAACACCCAACUUCUGAAAUGUUGACCUCGGAUCAGGUAGGAAUACCCGCUGAACUUAAGCAUAUCAAUAAGCGGAGGAA
rnacentral:rRNA from 1 species